rnacentral:misc_RNA from 1 species
GUAUUUUGAAUUAAGUAUUCAUAAUAGUUUUUCAGACAAAGUGGUUCAAGGUUAUAGGUUGGUGUAGGUGUUUCUCCAAAAAGAAACACAACAUUGCACACAAGGUGAGUACUAUUUUUAAAAAGUGCAGUAAAACACUUAUUAUGAAUGAUCCUUCCGCAGGUUCACCUACGGAAA